rnacentral:rRNA from 1 species
AGUGAACGCUGGCGGUAGGCCUAACACAUGCAAGUCGAACGGCAGCACAGGAGAGCUUGCUCUCUGGGUGGCGAGUGGCGGACGGGUGAGGAAUACAUCGGAAUCUACUCUGUCGUGGGGGAUAACGUAGGGAAACUUACGCUAAUACCGCAUACGACCUACGGGUGAAAGCAGGGGACCUUCGGGCCUUGCGCGAUUGAAUGAGCCGAUGGCGGAUGAGCUAGUUGGCGGGGUAAAGGCCCACCAAGGCGACGAUCCGUAGCUGGUCUGAGAGGAUGAUCAGCCACACUGGAACUGGGACACGGUCCAGACUCCUACGGGAGGCAGCAGUGGGGAAUAUUGGACAAUGGGCGCAAGCCUGAUCCAGCCAUACCGCGUGGGUGAAGAAGGCCUUCGGGUUGUAAAGCCCUUUUGUUGGGAAAGAAAUCCAGCUGGCUAAUACCCGGUUGGGAUGACGGUACCCAAAGAAUAAGCACCGGCUAACUUCGUGCCAGCAGCCGCCGCCG